rnacentral:lncRNA from 1 species
ACGCGUGAAGCGGACAGAGCUCCACUACCACCCUCCCAUUACCAGCCUUCCCCGGCACCCCCGAGCAGACUUUGCAGCGCUUUAUUUUUAACGGAACAACAGAGCGCGGCGAGCAAACUGCUGCUCCGCGCAGGGCAAGAGAAAUGGGUUUUUAAUAGGCAAGGUCGGCGUGCUUGGCAGCCGGCCAUCGCGGCCGGGGAAAUAAACAAACAGAGGAGCUGCAACUUCAGGUCGGAGCAGAAGUUGCGCUCCCGGCGAGAUGAGCCCGCGGCAUGGUCCUGGGGGCGAGUAUGCAGCCGCGUACGGAGCUGCCGCGGAGAGCAUCUCCGGUCCCCUGACCCCUCACCUCGGCCCCGCGGCCCCGGGACAGGAGCGGGGCCGGGGCAAGCAACCCCCCUGCGCUGCCGGGCGCGGUGCCGGCGGGCUGGCAGCGGGCGGAGGGCAGAUGGCCACCCUUGUUUAUCGCGUUCCGGCGGUGCCGCACGCCUAACUGCUGCUGUGCGGCACGGCCGGCCCCGGAGAGGCAGGAAGGGAGAGGUGAAGGGAGCGGGAGCGGAGCCUCCCGAUCGUGAAGCGGCAAUACGGAGUCUGCCGGAGGGUUUGCAGCCCUGCCCGGGGGUUCCCGCUCCCUCCGCCGCCGGGGCUCGGCCGUGUCGGCCCCGCUGGCCGCACCGCGGGGGCGCCGCGCUCCCGCUCUGGCGGCGCAUUCCGGGCUCGGUGCCGAGCACUCUCGGCUGCCGCGCAUCAGCCGCCCCGCUGCCUCCCGCCGCCGCCUCGCUCACUGCCGGCUCUGCAGGCGGCAGGGCAGAGCUGAUCCCGCAGCCUCUCCAGUGGCGCUGGCCCCGACUGGCCUGCACGUCUCCCUCGAGGAACGAGCCCGAGCAGGGGCUGGGGGGGCUGGGGUCCGCUGUUCCCAUCGCUCUUCCCAAGCCUUUCUGCAGCGCCGGCCACCGCAGGCCCACACAGGGGGAGAGGCGGCCCCCGCCUGAGCAGGGGUUGUGCAGCCCCUCAGCUCGCAGAGGGCUCGGAGGGGGACACCACUUUUGCUAA